AGAGAACACCUGCCAGAUUUCACAAGAGAGUUAUUUGAAAAUGCUUUUAUCUGCUUCUUUUCAUUCACUCAAAAGUCACACACUCACUCAAGCUGCUCCUGCACCAUCGGAUUAUCAUACUGGAUCCUGAACUUCUUGACAGAAAGGUGAUCAUCAGUCCAUAUUGGUAACACCAUCCCUAGGUCCAUCUCGCUGAGCACCAGCUCCCCCCAGGACUUCAUCCUCCGUCCACUGCUGUCCAUGCUCCUGACACAUGAAUGUACUGCAAGAUCCAGUUCAGACUAACUGGUGACACAACAGUGGUUGGCCUCAUCAAAAAUGAUGAUGACAUGGCUUACAGAGAGGAGGUUGAGCAGCUGGUGGAAUGGUGCAAGCACAACAACAAUGUGGACAAGAGCAUCCAGAUGAUUGUGGACUUUAGGAAGCUGCAGAUUGACCACUCCUCCCUGCACAUAAGUGGCUCCUCUGGUGAGAGAGUUAGGAGCACCAGCUUCCUGUGAAUGCAUGUAAUGGGGGGAUCUCAGCUAGUCCUUUACUUUACUUUUAUUGUCACUUUUACUUUUGAUGUCCUUUACUUUAACAUCACCUCUUUCGUCAAGAAGGCAUAGCAGCAUCUCCACUUUCUGUGGAGAUUGAGGUGAGCUAGGCUCUCCCCCCCUCCCCUACCAUUUUUUUUACAA